rnacentral:rRNA from 1 species
CCCUACGGGGGGCAGCAGUGGGGAAUAUUGCACAAUGGGGGAAACCCUGAUGCAGCGACGCCGCGUGAGCGAAGAAGUAUUUCGGUAUGUAAAGCUCUAUCCGCAGGGGAGAGAAAUGACGGUACCUCAGUAAGAAGCACCGGCUAAAUACGUGCCAGCAGCCGCGGUAAUACGUAUGGUGCAAGCGUUAUCCGGAUUUACUGGGUGUAAAGGGAGCGCAGGCGGUGCGGCGAGUCUGAUGUGAAAGCCCGGGGCUCAACCCCGGGACUGCAUUGGAAACUACCGAACUAGAGUGUCGGAGAGGG